rnacentral:rRNA from 1 species
GAUGAACGCUGGCUGCGUGCCUAAUACAUGCAAGUCGAGCGCAGCGGGGCCGGGUGAGUAACACGUGGAUAACCUCCUCUACGACUGGGAUCACUUCUGGACACCGGAGCUCAACCGGAAACUUAUAGAUGGAUCCGCGCUGCAUUAGCUGGUUGGUAAGGUAACGGCUUACCAAGGAAACGAUGCAUAGCCGACCUGAGAGGUUGAUCGGCAAGAAUGGAACGGAGACACGGUCCGUACUCCAACGGGAGGCAGAAGUAGAGAGUCUUCCGCAAGGGGCGAAGGCCGGACGGAGCAACGCCUCGUGAGGGAGGAAGGUCUUGGGUGCGAAAGACUCUGUUAUAAGGGAAGCGGUACCUAAUCAGAAAGCCACGGCUAACUACGUGCCAGCAGCCGCGGUAAUUC